AUGGAGAGUUUGAUCCUGGCUCAGGACGAACGCUGGCGGCGUGCCUAACACAUGCAAGUCGAACGGGGUUUACAAGAAAGCUUGCUUUUUUGUGAACCUAGUGGCGGACGGGUGAGUAACGCGUGGAUAACCUGCCUGUAAGACCGGGAUAACACCGGGAAACCGGUGCUAAUACCGGGCGUGCUGUAGGGGGGGCAUCCCCUUUACAGGGAAGGGAGAAAUCCGCUUACAGAUGGGUCCGCGUCCCCUUAGCUAGCUGGUAGGGUAACGGCCUACCAGGGCGACGAUGGGUAGCCGGCCUGAGAGGGUGGUCGGCCACACUGGGACUGAGACACGGCCCAGACUCCUACGGGAGGCAGCAGUGGGGAAUAUUGCGCAAUGGGCGGAA
rnacentral:rRNA from 1 species